AUUGAACGCUGGCGGCAUGCCUUACACAUGCAAGUCGAACGGCAGCACGGGAGCAAUCCUGGUGGCGAGUGGCGAACGGGUGAGUAAUAUAUCGGAACGUGCCCAGUCGUGGGGGAUAACGUAGCGAAAGCUACGCUAAUACCGCAUACGAUCUAUGGAUGAAAGCGGGGGAUCGCAAGACCUCGCGCGAUUGGAGCGGCCGAUAUCAGAUUAGGUAGUUGGUGGGGUAAAGGCCUACCAAGCCUUCGAUCUGUAGCUGGUCUGAGAGGACGACCAGCCACACUGGAACUGAGACACGGUCCAGACUCCUAC
rnacentral:rRNA from 1 species